UAUUAUGAUUGCUAAUUUAUAUGGAUAACAUAAGUAAAUAUGUUAUAGAACAGUUAUAAGUAUGAAAAUAAGCAGGGAAUUUUAAAGGAAAAGUAGUUGUCUUAUAAUCAAUUUCAGUGCAAAAUACUGUAUUUUUUUCUUGCAAGAUAAUAACAAAAUAGAAGUGACUAAUAAGAGUCAUUGGGGUCAAAUGUGUGAUAGGGGAGACAAUCCUACAAUUUAUUUGAGAAUAUGAAUCUAUGUAUCUUAUAACAAAAUGCCAAUGUACUUUAAAUUAUGUACCUCAUUUGAGGAAACCUAUUUUUGCUAAUUUUCUUAAUAAUCAACUAUACAUUUCCAUUAAGUUUAUGUUGGAUAAAAAUGACCAAUAAACACAAAUUUCCAAAAAAAAGUAGAUAUUUUUUACAGCUUUCUUUUUAAAAGAUUGUCACCUGAGCUAACAUCUGUUGCCAUUCUUUUUUCCUUCUUCUCCUCCUCCCCAAAGCCCCCCAAUACAUAGUUGUAUAUUCUAAUUGUGAGUGCCUCUGGUUAUGGUAUGUGGGGUGCCACCUCAUCAUGGCUUGAUGAGUGGUGCCAUGUCUGCACCCAGGAUCUAAACUGGCAAAACCCUGGGCUGCUGAAGCAGAGUGCACAAAGCUAUCCACUCUGCCAUGGGAUUGGACAUUUUUAAGAGUAGUGGCCGGCCCCAUGGCCGAGUGGUUAAGUUCUCCUGCUCUGCUUCGGUGGGCCAGGGUUUCACUGGUUUGGAUCCUGGGCGUGGACGUGGCAUGGCUCAUCAAGCCAUGUUGAGGCAGCGUCCCAUAUAGCAAAACCAGAGACACUCACAACUAGAAUAUACAACUAUGUACUGGGAGGCUUUGGGGAGGAGGAGAAGAAAAAAAAAAGAUUGGCAACAGAUGUUAGUGCAGAUGCCAAUCUUUAAAAAAAAAAGAGUAGAUACGAUCUUAGUGAAUAGUGUGUUGAUUUCUUAGACAUAGUAAUUUCUGCCUAAUGCACUUUCGGGGUAAGGUUUAUCCAGUUUUUCUUCUAUGUUAGUCAUAGAACUAUGCAUAAUUUGAAUUACUUGGCAUAUAGGCGUAUGUUUUGUUUUAUUUUAAGCAUCCACUUCUAAAUCAUUGUAAGUGGGCCAUAAACUGGCAAUACCAGUGGAUUUCUGGGUGUUGAGUUUGAGAAAUACUGUUUUCUUAGGAAAUGUCAACAUAUGUUAUUGUUUGGCUGCAGAUACUCCAGUGGCUAUAUUUAGUUAUUGAAAUCUGAUAUUCUAAUGAUGCUUCUCUAUGGGAAUAGUGUUAUAAUGGACUGUCCACUUAUAAAUUUUGAAAAUUAGCCACUUUAUUUGGGAUUCCUCCAGGUUUGAAAGUGCUGAAGAAUGUAGAUACAUAGAUAUAGAGGAAGUCAGAGUCACUCCCCAUCCUAUUGCAACUGAAGAAGGAACCUAGGCUUUAAACAAGGAGACUUCUUUUCUGUGGCUUGGACUGAAAAGAAUAAGAAAUUACACAGGAUUUUAAAAAAAUUAUAAUUUAAGAUUUCUGUGAGAAUAAAUUAUUGCAGUGAUACUGAUUUUAUUAUUUUUGUAGCAUGGAAAAUUUGGGGCAUGGUAUUUUUCUCAUUAUCCUUUGCAUAAUGUGUAGCCCUCUCUAGUCUUGGCUGGAGACUGUGGCUUUGAAUUUAGAUAGAUUGGUUGUUUUCUUGGCUGAGUGAAGUAUGACCCCACGUGAUGUCAAAAUAGCAAUAGAAAUAUCCCAUCCCUCAAAAAUUGCUGAAGUCACAAGGAAGAAACUUUCAUGAAAGUCUCGACUUAGUGAAUAAUAAUUUUGUUUGUGUAAGGUUUUAAUAUGGCAAGAUUUGGAAAAAUGCUUACAAGAAGACAUAGACCGACUUUUCUGGUAUUCUUUCUUUAUGAGAGGAACAAAACAUUAAUGGUUCACUAGAGGCUUUGGUAGCAUUUAUUACUGUUCUCUAAGGCCCAGCAUAAUAAUUAGCAUCUAGUAGGUGUUUGAUGGAUAGUUAAUAAUUUCAUUAUAUUGGUGUAUUAUUAUAGUUAUUGGUAGAAUCAAUGCAUGAAUGAACAAAAAGUACAAGAAAUUUGCGUUAUAGGCAAAAUUUGGCUUCCAGUUUAACCCUUGAUUUUCUCAUUCUUUGUAAGGGUUUGAGUCAAGAAAUGAGUGCAUUUUAUUGUGCCGUGUUUCUGGGAAUGGAAUUGGGUGAUAGUAUCUUACACCCAAUUUGCCUCUUCCAUCAAUUAGAGAAAUACUUAAAUGGAAUGCCAAAUUUUGAUUUGAGGCUUUGGUGGAAAGAGAAAAGGGUGUUUCUUAAGGUUGUCUACUCUUUUUAUUGCAUGCCUCCACCUGUUUCAGACUAGCUCACUGGAGAAGAAAUCUUCCAUGUUAUAAAAGAAAAGAAAACCCACAUGUUCAUUUGAACUUAUCCCUUGUACAAAUCUCUUAAAAAUCAAGAGGACAUCGUUGUUGAAGAUUAUAUGACAGUUGAUUUGUUAGUGGGUAGUGUAGUACUUGACCGCAUAAAAAUAUGUGAAAAUGUAUCAUAUUAUUUACCUUGGCAUAAUAUAUUGGUUAUUUAUUCCCUUGGUAUUUGUAAUGUUUAACAUAAACAUCUUCUGCAGCUCAGUGUAAAAGACCUGAACCAGUUGUUUCUAAAAUGACAAAAAUGUAGUGAUAAUUCAAAGAAGAAAAUAAUAGCAAAAUAAUAGCAAGUAAACAUGAAAUAUCUCAAACUCACUUAAACAUCCUUUUAAAAUCAUUCUAUGAUACAUUUGACUGUCAAUUUUACAAAGAUGUAAAAAGGUGAUGCAAACUAGGAGGUGAGGAUGUGGCUGUCUUACAUGGACUUGAAUGGACUUUAGGAAAGAUGGACAAGGAUUUCAUCCAGAAACUUAGGAAAUUUAUUGCACAAUAGAUACUGUUUAGACUUCUUUAGAUGGCUGCUCUAUUUGAGCUACCUUUCUGUUUGAGAGUUUUGUUGUCUUUUAACUGUAUUAAAACUUCUAACUGGUCGCUUUACUUCUAGCCUCAGAUUCUCUAAUUCAUCUAUCUGCCAAAGCAGUCUUUUGGAAAGAUGACCACCACAUCAUGUUUCUUCAUCAGUCUGCAGUUGACAUGUUUCAGGAGUAUUAGAAAUAAGCAAUAAUCAGAGGACAAGGAUUAUAUAAACUGAUAAUAUUUACAGCCUCUUUUGCCACUGUCAAAACUGGAAAUUUUCCACUUUUAGUCACUGAACUUUUGGAUUCUUAAAUUUUGAGACAUUCUUUCACACUUAGCCUCUGCAUAAGAAUCUUUAGAAGUUUGUACAGCAGGAAGCAACGUGACUGCAACCCAGGAAGAUUUAGAGUAGAUUUGCAAAUCUUUUUUCCAUUAACAUAGGUAAGUAAGCAGGAGAGACUAGCCUGAGUGACUGCUCCUGCAUUCAUAAAACUGUAGUUUUCAAAUUCUUCUGGAGUAUUCUGAGCAAUUUUACUUACAGACUGCUAUCGAAGUUUAAACCUCAUGCUGAUUUAAGGGGUCUUUGGUCAGGGCACCUGUGUAGAGCCACUCUCUUGAUCCUCGACUCUGCUCAUUUGCCUGGUCCAACAGCAUCAGGACAGCAUCUCAUUCCGCAUUCCUCCCAAAAAUGGAAGUGUGUGAGGGGGUAUUUACUGAAUUGAAAAUUAUUUCAAGUGGAUAAAAUGAGAGUAGUAUUGGGCUAGUCUGGACAAUGUCAAGUACACACAAGCCAACCUUGCAGGAAUAUGUGGAUAGAAAGGGAAGAACAGCACAUCUUGAAUUCAGCUAGAAACUUCACCAGCUACAUCAUCACAGACAAAAUAAAAAUAGAUUUAUACUCUUCUGAACUUCAUCUUGCCUUUCAAAUGUUUACAUUUGGAUUUGAGGGGGGAAAAACUGUGUCUUGCUUGCUAUGGAGUAUCAACUUGCCUUCAAAAGAUUUACCAGUAAAAGCCUUGCAUAUGUGACAUUUGUAUGUGUAUGUGAUAAACAGAUCUUAGUGUGGGCCUCUCCCCCCCGACACCCCUGCUGGAGCUAGCAUUUUAAAACAGCUUGGAAUCUGAUCCUAUUAACUACUGGACAUAUAUAGCAUAAGAAUUUAUUGAAAUACUUCGGAAAAUUGUGUUUGGGUAAUAUUAUUGAAAUGGAAAUAUAACAUACUAAGUGAAUGAUAAAUAUAUAUGAACUGUAUAUUGCAUAUUAGGAAAUGAAGAGAAUGAAAAUUUCAACAUGGGAUAGUUUUAUUGUAUUCUCUUUUAGCUUAGUUUUUCUUGGACCCUAAUACUGAAGCAUAGAGACUUACAUUUAUAAACAUGAAUCUACUAUUUUUAGAUACUUUUUAAAUCGUUGCUGUGAUAAUAGAGCUGGUUUCCCAGGGAAGUUUCUAAAAAUGUGUUUGGUAAAAUCGUAUCUCAAAAAGAUUUUUGGAAGGAAUUCUGUGGACAUUUUGUAAAGCUAUACAUAAUUCUCUAUUCAUUGUUUGAGCGCUUAUGGAUAGGAGAAAAGAAAUGGGCAUGGUGAGUGUCUAAUACGUUAAUCAGGAAAAAAGUUAAGGCACUAGUUAUUCAUGUGCAUUUUGAGAAUGCUUUGUAUGAAAUAACUGAAUAUAAGUGCUUUGUGACAUUUCUUAGAGUAUUGUGAUUGCUAACAAAGAGUUUGCUAAAAUACAUAGAAAUAUUUUAAUAGAUGAUUAUAGAAAUAGAAUAAUUAGAAUACCUCUGAAUGAUGUGUAUUUAUAAUCAUUUGAUCGGAUUAUUGCUGUGGGUUUUCUGCGGGGAGUAGGAUUGUUCUGCAUACAACUGUCUGUAAGAAAUUUUGUUAAGGCUGCUUUAUGUGGAUGUAGAUGUUAUUCUGUAAAUGGUCUUUAUAUGUUAGAAUUUGUAUGGCAUUAGAUUUUAUUCUCAAAAUGAGAUUGUUGCACAAGAGGCCAUCCUCAGUGAACACUUUGCCUGUUCAGGGUUGAGUGGGCUUUUUAUUGCUCUGUAUACACAUGAAAAAAGUACUGUUAUAUCAUCUUAUCAAGCAUAGAAGUGGCUGACAUUUUGGUCAUUUCAGUUGUUAAAAUAUAAUUUUGUUGCUUGCUGAGAGGUGUUUCUAGACUGCUUUGUAAAAGAGCUGAAUUCAGGAGAUAGAGAAUAAGACGUUUUGGAGGGCUGUGUAUGUAUAUAUGCAUGCAUAUAUACAAGGAGAGUUCUUGAACAGCCUCCAGGCGUUACUCCAUGCUCAGAUGUUGGUAAUCUACAUAUGUUUUGUAAAAUAUUCUAAUGUUAAAGAGAGGUAGACUUUUCCCCUUCCACCACUGCAAUUGUUUAAAUUGCCUCUGAACAUUAAUUCAUUUCUGGUAGAUAUUGUUAUACAUUUUGUUAUAAACUGUUAUUAAUGUUAGAUAUUUUUGUUUAACAUCUAGUUUUCUACAUGUAUAGACAUCAUUGUAAAUUCAUUUGAACUUAUAAGGGUAGAACCAUUUUUGUUUGCCAAAAGAGAUGGUUAGAUCUAACCUCUGUGUUCAUUGAAUCAGUAGGUUCUAUUUUUAGGUUGUGGUAAAUAUAAUGUGUAGUAUCUCAUCUAACAUGUCAUUGUUUUAUGACAAGAUUCAUCAUGGUGGAAAUGUCCUUGUAACUGGUGGUCUGCCUUUGCUUAUUGGUUUUAGAAACGUUUGCAUACAAAUAACACAGUCCUUUGUAUAACAUAGAGAAACCUCUACUUGUGGUAAAAUAGCAUAGGUUACAAAAGUUUUCAGUUGCCGGUGAAAUUUAACUUUUAAUAAUAGUGAAUUGUUAUUUUAAAGUACUUAGUUGAUUAAGCAAUUUAUAAGAUUUUAUGGGAAAUGUUAGCAAUGGCGUAUCAAAUCUGAGUUCAUUAAAUCAUGAGCUGAUCAAAAGAAUGUUUAUGUAUUAUGUGUAUAUAAUGGACAUAGUUAUUUUUUAAAGGAUAAGAAUACUAUAUCUGCAUGUUUCAUAAGUAUAUUAAUUGUAGAAUGAAAACUUACCCAAAUGGUUGUCACAUUGUCUCUAUGAGUAAAUAAUUGGGCAGCUGAAGGGGUUUUUGUUAGAUAGUUGUGUGUAAAAAGUUAGAAUAUGUAAUAGUUUUGCUUUAAACUUUCAGUUCUUGAUUUAUAGGGAUUGCUUACUUAUACAUAUGGGGGUGUGUGUAUGUGUGUAUAUAUAUACACAUGCAUGCACAUAUGUACAUAUAUGUGUAUGAAACAAGUGUUUCUUAAAAUUCAGAAAAUAGAAACAUCAUUUUUUGGCCAAAUAAUUGUCAUUCGGGCUUUAGUCUAUGUUCUUUGGGUUGUUUGAGGGUAGAUGAUAUAGGAAGUUUUAGUUUUUGAACUUUAUUUAGUACCUGGAGGAUACUGUGAGGCUGCUAGAUAUAUGGUAGACAAAUGUUAGUCUUUGUUUUAUAACAUCUGCAUAGGAUUUGCUAAUAGGCAUACAUUUUUGAAGAUCAAACCGAUAUAGACAAAGGUGAAAACACUUUAUUUUGGUAAAUUGAAUUCCUAUACUGAGUCCAUUUGGGAUGUAUUUGGUUGAUGGGGAUUAUAUUUUUACUUUGAUUCAUGUAUCGAAGAUAAAUGUCAUUUUAUAAAACAUUUUUGAAUAUGUAACUUCUGUCAAUUUUGAAAAUAUGUUUUUAUUGAAAUGUUAAAGGUAGAAUUACUGUUUGAACAUAGGUGCAGUAGAAUGAGCAUAUUCAUGAGUUUGGCUUGAUUUUAAGGGUUUUUGUUUAUUUUUGUGUUUUGAGUUUUUUAAUUAGAUCUUUUUUGUUAGUCUAUGUCAUUGCCAUUCAUAUUUUUAAAUAUGUAACUUGUAUGAUUUUUCUUAUCUAAUUUUUUGAUUGAUAAAUGUUGGGACAGAGCAGGGAAGCAUUUGACUGCUGUAUAUAUGAUAGACAAGCUUCUUGUAUAACAUCUUAACUUCCUAGGCAUGUAGAAACAUCCUCUUCAUAUGCAGGCACAUGCACACACACAUGAACACACACACACACUCUAAAUAUAUUCAUGUUGAACUAUAGUUAUCUUUAAAACACCUAUUCUUUCUAGAAAUGUAGACAUUGCUGAUAGAAUAUACUUUUAAAUAUCAGGAACUUUUUUAUCAGUAUAGUAAUUAGCUUUUUUUGCAUGUUCAGUGGUUUGUGGUGACGGAUAUGGACAAGGGUGUUGGAUGUUUUCUGAUCUCAUGUCUGUAGUAUAUGAUGCUUUAGCUUUAUUCUUUUUGCUUUAUAGAGAUUGUGGACAUCGUAUGUUUCAGUCAUGCGGUUUUAAACUGUAUGGUUGAAACGCUUAACUUUUGCAAAUGUUUUUAGAAACUAUAUGGCUUGGUCUUUUUUUUUUUAAAUAACUGAGUUUAUAAUAGUUGCUUUAUAACGUUUUGAGUGUGAAUGUAUAGAACUGUUGAUAAACGGAAUGAUAGAGGUUAGAACCAGUUUCUUUUGAUGAUAUUUUUAGUUCACCCUUAUGGAGUCUUCAUUGGACUGCUGGGAUCCUUAAAGACAAAUUACCAUAAUUGAGUUAAAACUCUCUGAGCUAUAUUCUUGUUCCUUAUGUAUAUAUUAUCAUGUUAGGGAGAAGAUCGUGACAUUUAAAAGUUCUUUUACAUCAUAUUUUCAUUUAAAAGAAAAAUUAGAUUAUAAACAUUAAAUUGUUUCCAUUUUAUAUAAAAAUAUCUGUCAGUUUCAGGAACAUGUAGGUAUAUCUUAUUUUCCAGGUGUACUGAAGUUAAUUAUGCAAUUCAGUUUUCUAAAGAACAUUUUAUAAAAUCUCUGAGUUAUGUACUUCUUUGUUUAUCUGUUACAUGGCAAUAACCAAGAUAAUUUUGUAAAUAAUGGCAAGUAAGAUAGUUAAUUUUAAAUAUCUAGUAUUUCUACAUGUAUUGAGAGUCUCACAAAGUAUAAUUUUGUAAAUAUUCAUUGUAAAUUUGUUCUCUUGUCUUCUAAAAUUAACGUGGCAAUGAAACUGAUUGUUGAUAAACAGACUCUUGGGGUUAUACAAAAUUAAUCGUAUAUUAAUUUGGUCGUUAGAAGGAAUUGACAGGAUUUUGCAUUUACCUCAUUCUCAUAUAGAAGAAUAGUUUCUAUUGUAUCAAAUAUGAAUUGUAUAUUAAACUUAGACAAUGUAAAUUUAUGUGGUAUUUCUGGAUGUAGUGAACUUCCUCACUUAUUUCUUUAAUGUUGCUUAAUUUUUUUAGAACAGUUUUAGGUUCACAGCAAAAUUGAAGGGAAGGUACAGAGAUUUCCCUUAGACCUUUUACCCCAACACAUCUGUAAUCAUCCCCUUUAUCAGCAUUCUCCAACAGAGUAAUACAUUUGUUACAAUUGGUGAACCUACAUUGAUACAUUGCAAUCACUCAAAACUCAUAGUUUAUGUUAUGGUUUACUGUUGGUGUUGUACAUUCUAUGGGUUUGGACAAAUCUGUGAUAACUUGGAUCCAUCACUGCCCCGAAAGUCCUCCGUGCUCUGCCUAUUCAUACCUCCCCAUAUAUUUUUUUUCUUUUGUUUUUAACAUUCAGCAUAUAAAUGACUUUAUCAAGGAGAUUUUCUACUACCUCUUGGAACUAUACACGGUUCUGUAUGUGUUCCCUUGGUUGCAUGACAAUAUUCAAGACAACUUUGUAAAUAAUAGGAUGUAAAUUUUUAAUUUUUAACAUCUAGUUUUUCUAGAUGUAUAGAGUCUCACAAAGUAUAAUUUUGUAAAUAAUUCAUUGUAAAAUAUCAUGGUUUCAUUAUUUUCUUUCCAAUGUCGUAGUGAAAUUGAUAUCUAAGUCAUAAUUUUGUAGUUGUACUGCUUGAUAUUGGGCAUUAUGUACUUUAAACAUAGGAAAUGUUAUAUAAGAAAUUUUGUUUUCCCUCUUUGAAUGAUAGUUUUGUAUUUCAACUGCAUGACAACAUUCAAGACAACUUUGUAAAUAACAGAUGUAUUAUUUUGAAAGAAUGUGGUUUUUCUAGAUGAACGGAGUUUCACAAACAUAAAUCUGUAAAUAUUUCAUUGUAAAAUAUCAUAAAUUGGCUCAGGUAAAUGUUUUGGCUGUGUAAUUAAUAAUCGGCCUCUUAGGGCUGUUUAACAUUUUGGUGUUUGUUCACUGAGUUUUGGGAAGAGAGAUAGACACAUCCCCUCAGAUUGUUAAGCUUUCAUGUAGAAGAAAACAUUAGAUUGUAUACUUAGAACAAACAAAGAAAAAUACCCCUGGAUGUAUUUUUAAUUUUAGGAAGAAAAAGGAAGACAUGAGAAGGAAUCAUCAUUUUAAAUCACAGAUUCACAGGAGAUUCUCACAUUGCUAAAGUAAUUGUCACUUUGCUAUACUAUAUAAAUUUACUCUUUACAAAUUUAUAUAUGUAUAUGCAUAGAUAUAAAGGUAUAUAUACACAUAUACAGGUAAAAUUACUUUUAGGGAUAUAGAUUUGAUAAUACUCUCUUUUGUCAUUUGUUAGCUUAUUGCUUCACAUUUUUUUUUGAAAACAAUGGAGAUAGUAUUUUAAUUCUAAGCUUAAACAUUUCUAGAGGCCCACUUCAUGUUAUAGCUACAUGUAUGUUAAUUUUUAUAUAAAAUGAUUAAGUAGCUCUGUAUCUGUUUCCUAGUCUGCUUCCAUAUAUACACAUAUAUGUGAACAGAAUUCCUCUGAUAAUGAAUAUUUUUAAAAAUUUGAGGACCUUUAAAAUUUUCCAGUGAAUAGUUAUAUUUGAUAUGUGAUAGUCAGAAACAAAUGUCAAAAGUCUUUCAUCUCAGUUGCCUCUAAUAUAAAUUAUGAAAAUUUCUUAGAUUCUAUUCAGUGUUCAUCAAAGUAUAAAUCAGUGUACCUUUUUAAACAGUUUGGCACUGACGAUCAUAAUUGAGUAUGUAAAACUUUUAAAAUGGUAUAACUUGCUCUUGAUUUUAUCUAUUGCAACUCUCAAAGAAGAAAGUAUGUUUUGUAGAUUGAGAUGACAAAUAAUUUGAACAUCUGAAAUCCUCGUCAAUAAAAGGUCGUAGUGAUUACAGCUUAUUGGUCACAUGAAUGUAAUUCAAAUACUGAAAAAAAAAUUCUCGUAUGGAAGGCUGUUUUUAGGUCAUAUUUAAAAUUGUCAUUUUUGAACAAACAUCAAUUAAUUGUGUUUACAAUGGUGUCUAUAUGCCUCUAGUUUUUCAAACUGAAGUGUUAAUGGUUACUAUUCCUGGGGAAUGGGAUUAUCCUGGCAUGAUUAUCGUGUUAAGUAAUGCUUACUGGUCAGUGUUAUUUUAAUGGUGAUUAUUUUACCAUUUUUUGAAAUUUUUGUACAUGUAUAAUUUAAAUAGUAAAACAUUGUUUAUGUAUUUGUAUGUUGCUACAUGACAAUCUAAAAUGAAUAUAUGAAUUAUUAAAUAAAAAUAUAUCUGGAAGGACGUAUGAAAAAGUUUUAACAUAACUGUAUAGAGAUAGAGGAAUAGAAGGACUGCUUCUACUUUCUGCAUUUGAAAUUUUAAAGCUAUUUCAAAAGGAACAUUUAAACAGAGGGAAUUUUAAAGAUACAAGCAGUUUGUGCCUGUCUUCGUCCUUGCCUCUCGACAUCUUGGGAUUUGGGGCUGUUGUAUCCAACUUUGUAUUCUCAGUGGCCAUUAUGAGUGGUUUUUGAGUGGUCAUGAAGAGCAUGUGAUUUAGAGACUUGUGCAGCAGAGAGUUUUACAGAGUGAACAGAGUGUAUUGGAUCACCCAAGGAAAGAAGGGAGAAGAUGGGAUUUGAGUUGGAUAUGGUGGAAGAAAAACAUUUGCAGAUAAUCUGAGUACAGCUGUGACAUCAUCAGGAACAUUCCUCUUUUAUGGAGUUCCUUAAUUCAUAAGUCUUAACCGUGAAUCAAAGGAGAUGAUAAUUCCGAGAAAAGAUACUUUACCAAGUUCAUUUUUAAUCCCAAGAAUCGGUGCCACUGGAUCUCUAUUGCAAUAUUCCUCAUUCAGGUGUUCGUCACUGCCAUCUCUGGUCCUAGGAGUACCCCUUGGCGAUAUGAUUGUGAUGACUGAAUAGGAAACUGAUGCCAUUUCUUCUGACACCAUCUUCAUCAAACCAAAAGAUGGUCUUCAUAAUGUAUGGAGACUCUUUCGUGUGUUGCAGUGGACACUCCUUGCAGAUCAGAAAAACCGGACUGAGAAAGCUCAUGUUUUAAAGUAAUCUAAAGAGUGUAAUUGGAGAGAAUUGUAACCAGGCCUGUUGACAGUUUUCAUUGUUGCCAUUGGACUAAAUCUCAGGAGCUUGAAUGCCAGAGACGUUAUUACACAGAAUCUCAGGAUGGUGUAAUUGCAAGGCUUCAUUUCAGUGCUCCCAUAAGUAUUAAGUGCAUGUAUUUAUAAUUUUCACUUAUCACAGGAUCAACUUAAAAUUAUUUCAUAAAAAAUCAUCUUGUUCAAGAUUUUAAAGGUAUAGAAAUUUGUGAAGUAUGGUAUUUUUAACUCAUGCCCUUUUCCCCUCAUAAUUCUAUUCUCCAGCGUUAUCUACUGUCAGUGUAGUUUUGUGCACAUCUUUUUGGGGUGUGUUGAUAAACAGAUUGAUAUGCAACUCUCUUUUUGGCCCAUAUUAUGUCUAUAAAUUUUCUAUGCCGUAAAAAGGCAUACAGAUAAAUUAUUUUGAUAAUUUCAGAGAAUUGGAACUGCUAGGACUAGGGAUGUCCAAAAAUUUAUGUUUUGAGUCAAAACUACAGCUUUCCCCCUAAUCAUAGAGAGUCUUCAUCAAUAUUGUCUCCCAGUGUUUGUUCAUGAGAGUUCUGUUUCCUAAAAUGGUACACAUGUUAGAUGUCAGUGUUUUAAUCGUUAACAAUGCGAUAUUACGAAGAAAUUGCUUUUUUUCUUCUCUUGUUUGUCUCCAUCAUCUUCGUAUAUCCUUAAUCCUUACUUGUCAUUUGUGUUAUUUCAUUUUCCUCUGCUUUUUGUUUUUUUCCAUUUCCCUUGGAGUAUGAGUGUCUGUGUUGCUCAUUUCUAAAAACUCAUUUAUAACUAAAGAUGUUAACCAUAUGUCAUGCAUUGCAAGUGAAAUACCAUGUUUUCUUUUCGGCAUCAUUUUACUGUGGUGUUUUAUUUUUUGGUUGUACAAAAGUUAUGUAUUGAAAUACAAUAAUGUUCUGUUUUAUGCCUUUUGAGUUUUGUGUUUUUCUUUUAAAAACAUGUUUGCAUUAGUAUCAUACAUUUCUUUCUCUGUAUUUUCUAAUACUUUUCAUUUUGUCCUUUUAUUUUUCCAUUAAUCAUUACCAUGGUAUUUAAAGUAUUACAUACUCAAAUUGUUUCCCUUGACUUAAGCAAUUACUGCUUAAUUUAAAUUCUGUAAUGAUAUGGAAAUUCCCACAUAAUUGGCUACAUUUCUAUUUAUUUGCUUUAUCUUAUAUUGAUACUUUAAAAUUACCGAUGGUUUCUAGUCUUAGCUAUUCCAUUGAAUUCUCUCAUUUCUCAUAAUUUUUCAGAAUAUUCCCUGUCUACAUUCAAAUUUUUUCCCUCAGUUGACGCUUAAAAUUAUUUUCCAAGUUGGAAAAAAAUGCAAUUUUAAUUUCAUUUGCACCAAAUUUAAUAGAGUAAUUAGGAGAGAAUUAGAUCUCUUUAACUCAGCCUUCCUAUCCAACUGCAAGGUAUGUGUUUCUAUUUUUAAUUAAAUUAUGUGGGAAUAUUGCUAGUGUAGUUUUAUUUUCUUAUUUUUUGAUUAAUCCCAACUCAUCUCAUACUUUUGUCAGUGUAGCGAUGGGGAUCAUACACUCAGUUUUUCUUAUUAAUAUGUGAAAGCCAUUUCAUGUACUUUUCUAGUGACGUUUAAUUGAAAUACCAACAUUAUGGUUUUCUUUUUUCACAAUUCAUAGGUGGUUUCAGAAUGUAUGAAAGCAGAAAGUGCCCUUGGUUAUUUCAUUAUUAAUACUAAUCCUGUUAAAGGUUUACUUAUGAGUCAUUUUAGGAAACAGCUUCCUUCCUUUCAUUGAGGAUUUUCCACUAAAUUUGAUGACAAGUUUAAUAAAAUGUCUUGUGUUUUACAGUUGAUCAUACUUGCCAUUAUAAUUAUUGACUAGGGUAAAAAUUAACUUUUUCUAAAAGUGAACAUUCUUGCAUCCAGUGAAUGAAUGAACUUAAUUGUGUAUAUGUGUAAUUAUAUAUAUAAAUAUAUAUGUAUGUAAAUACACACUUCCCUAUUAUAAUCAUUAUAAUUUUGUUUGCGAUUUCUGAAAAAAAUCUUAAACAACUUUAUUUUGUUUUGGUCAGGGUUUUGUGUUUGGUUAACUGGCUCUACUGAAAGUGUUUUGUGUAUUUUUGAUAUAGACUGGAAAGAAGUAUUGCCAUUAUUGCUUUAAUUUUUAUUUUGAAAUAAUUUUUGACACACAAAACUAUUGCAAAAGUAGUACGUAGUUUGUAAAAAUAUUCUUUAGAUUCCUCUUAUGUUAGCAAGUUUCAUAUGCAUGAUACAAUUAUCUAAACCAGGACAUUACCAUUGACGUACUGUUGUUAACUGAUCCUUUUUAUAGGUCCAGGAGUUAACGUGAAUGUUUGACCAUGCUUUCAAGUUUGAAAUGUUUGACCAUGCUUUCAGUUUCCAUGAGUCACAGUCAUGGGAUUUCUUAAAAUACAUCCCAAAUAGAAUCUGAUAAGGCACUUCUAUUUUCCCAUCUCCCAUGCAAGAAAUAACAACUUAAGACUUAGUUUUCUCUUAUAAUUUAUUCCGAAUGUAUUUUGUUAUAUCUCAGUAUUUGGGGCACCAGUAUUUUUGAAACACAAUCAUCAAACUACCUGUUGAAAAGUAUAAAAUGCAAUAAUAAUUCCUUAUAUUGUUAAUCACAAUGAAUAAUCAGUACCACCUAUGAAAUGCUUUUUGGUAAAAAAGUCUUAUUCCAAUUUGUCUUAUGUGUUUAAUUAAAAGUUAUGUUUAAAUCA
rnacentral:lncRNA from 1 species